AGAGGAUCGUGAUCUAGGACAGUGAUAUGGGCUCAAGUCCCUAACAAGGGCAACUGUUGCUAGUGGGUAAGCUGUACCUUCCAUUUGGAGAUGCAUCUGUACCUGAGGAUACUUCAGAAGCAUACUGGAAGUGUACACAUGUACUUUUCAAAUGUGUAAAGAAUUCAGUAUUUCAAUUCCUGAAAAGAGAUGCUGAAUCUGACAUCAGAAGAUGGAAGUCAUAUACUUACAGUCCAAACUACUUUGAAGCAAUUGUGUGACCGCAAAUGUCAAAGUCACCCUUUGAUGGAGCAG